CUAGAAAGGCCUAUUUUCAAAAGCUCAUGUCCUCUGAAUUGAGGAACCACAGAUCAGAUCAGCCUCUUCAACCCCCCGCGAGGCUCCCAUUCAUGUAAGACACCCAUGGCUUUGUAAUGGCACCCAACGCUCUGGGCUGGCAUGAAAAUUGUGUGACUCACAUCAUGUGCCUCCCCAAGAAGGUAAUGGAUGAGCUAAACUUGGAGCAGGGGGCUGAGACACAGAUUUCCUGUGCUGUCGAGCUAUUGCAGAUCUCAGCAGAUAACAAAGCUAUUAUCCUGGCAGAAAUGGAAGCAUCCUCAAAUCCUGUCAGAUGGCAGCAUGGACAAAAAUUACAAGCAAAUGUAUUUUUAAGCUGAUGCACUUUCUUAAGUCUGGCUCCUAAAAGCAAAACAUGCUCUUCUAGGAGAAGUUUUAGUAAAAACAUAAGAAUGCUGCUGGUAAGGAAAUCUCUAGGUGAUGCCAGGGACUGACAACAGAGGAUUUCUGAUAGAAGAAAGA
ensembl:lncRNA ROR1-AS1 ROR1 antisense RNA 1